rnacentral:rRNA from 1 species
GCCUAUACAUGCAGUCGAACGAGCUUCCGUUGAAUGACGUGCUUGCACUGAUUUCAACAAUGAAGCGAGUGGCGAACUGGUGAGUAACACGUGGGGAAUCUGCCCAGAAGCAGGGGAUAACACUUGGAAACAGGUGCUAAUACCGUAUAACAACAAAAUCCGCAUGGAUUUUGUUUGAAAGGUGGCUUCGGCUAUCACUUCUGGAUGAUCCCGCGGCGUAUUAGUUAGUUGGUGAGGUAAAGGCCCACCAAGACGAUGAUACGUAGCCGACCUGAGAGGGUAAUCGGCCACAUUGGGACUGAGACACGGCCCAAACUCCUACGGGAGGCAGCAGUAGGGAAUCUUCCACAAUGGACGAAAGUCUGAUGGAGCAAUGCCGCGUGAGUGAAGAAGGGUUUCGGCUCGUAAAACUCUGUUGUUAAAGAAGAACACCUUUGAGAGUAACUGUUCAAGGGUUGACGGUAUUUAACCAGAAAGCCACGGCUAACUACGUGCCAGCAGCCGCGGUAAUACGUAGGUGGCAAGCGUUGUCCGGAUUUAUUGGGCGUAAAGCGAGCGCAGGCGGUUUUUUAAGUCUGAUGUGAAAGCCUUCGGCUUAACCGGAGAAGUGCAUCGGAAACUGGGAGACUUGAGUGCAGAAGAGGACAGUGGAACUCCAUGUGUAGCGGUGGAAUGCGUAGAUAUAUGGAAGAACACCAGUGGCGAAGGCGGCUGUCUAGUCUGUAACUGACGCUGAGGCUCGAAAGCAUGGGUAGCGAACAGGAUUAGAUACCCUGGUAGUCCAUGCCGUAAACGAUGAGUGCUAAGUGUUGGAGGGUUUCCGCCCUUCAGUGCUGCAGCUAACGCAUUAAGCACUCCGCCUGGGGAGUACGACCGCAAGGUUGAAACUCAAAGGAAUUGACGGGGGCCCGCACAAGCGGUGGAGCAUGUGGUUUAAUUCGAAGCUACGCGAAGAACCUUACCAGGUCUUGACAUCUUCUGCCAAUCUUAGAGAUAAGACGUUCCCUUCGGGGACAGAAUGACAGGUGGUGCAUGGUUGUCGUCAGCUCGUGUCGUGAGAUGUUGGGUUAAGUCCCGCAACGAGCGCAACCCUUAUUAUCAGUUGCCAGCAUUCAGUUGGGCACUCUGGUGAGACUGCCGGUGACAAACCGGAGGAAGGUGGGGAUGACGUCAAAUCAUCAUGCCCCUUAUGACCUGGGCUAACACGUGCUACAAUGGACG